rnacentral:lncRNA from 1 species
AAAGAAGCAAGUUGGCUGGACUAGGGCUGAAGAGCUGUGAAGUUUCCUCCAGCUAGUGCUCCCUCUGACACAAAUCCUCACAGCAGACAAAAGCCUGGACAUGAAGAUGCAGAGUGCCUCACACAGUGAGCUGUUUCAUCUUGGCCUCAGUCUUCCACGCAAGUUCCCUGUGUUCUCCUGCACAGCCUCCUGAGCAGGAAGUGAUACUGGAAAUGGAUCAAGAUGUCUGGCACUUGAGAAGCUAAAGCUUUCUCUCAAGCAGAAAAUUAUAAUGCACAGUUUACCCAUUUGAGAUUAUGGUG